GCAGAAGAGGAAACUGAGACAAGCAGAUGGUAAGAAAUUCACCCAGCAUUGCCCACUUAGUGUGGAGCAGAGCUGGGAUUUGAACAUGCAUGCUUUGUCCUUGGAGCUUCUACUCUUGGUCUUGAUGCUUGGGGCCUCCAGGAUGCCUACAGUAUAGAAGAGACUCGUUCUGAAAUCCCUCCAACUCCUUGAGCCAUUGAUUUCUCAUUGACCAAGCAUGAUGGAAAAAAGCAAGCACACGCUCAUAGGCGGAAGGGACUUGCCUUGUCUUGGAUGAGACUUGAGACUGUGGACUUUUGAGUUAAUGCUGAAGACGGGACUUGCUCCUCUCUGCCUUCUGCCAUGAUUGUGAGGCCUUCCCAGCCAAGUAGAACUGCUAUUUGCUUUUGAGCUACUCCGGGAGAGGAGCAGAGUCGGUUUGAGUUGCAUGACUGACAUCUUCUGGCUACAGUGGAUAUUACAGAAAGACUGAAACUCCGCAAAAGUGUGUUUGAAAAAAAGAAAAGCACCCUGGAAUUUGGAUCAUUAAGACUCUAGACAUGUGACCUGGAGAUGCAGCAUCCAUCUUGUGACCAUGAAGCAAUAGGGAUAAGGGUAAAAGUCUACACAUUGCAGAUUGCAGAUAAAAACAUGAAAAGAUCCUGGCUGCCUGAUGACACUACAGCUGCCCUGUGAACAGGUGCCUUCUGCCAUGAUCAUAAGUUUCCAAGUCCUCUCCAGCCACGUGAAACUGUGAGUCAAUUAAACCUCUUUUCUUUUACCCAGUCUUGGGGAGUUCUUUAAAGCAAUGUGAGAACAGAC
rnacentral:lncRNA from 10 species